AGGGAAGAGCAGGUGCUUCUCUGUAAGACAGGUUGACGUGCCACCAGCUGAAAGUGAUUUUCAUUGAUUAAAAACAAGCCAAAGUCCUCACAGAAACGUAUAUUAUAUCUUUAAUUGCUCAACCUUUUGCUCUUUUUGCUGCAGCAUUAUGCGUCCAGAGAAAAAAUCCCACAGAACUAUUGAAAUUUCAGGGGUAAAUGUCUUUAUUCUGAGCAGUUUACAGCACUACCAGCUGAGGUCUGACAUCCUCUGGGUCUAAAUCCAGGACUGGAGAUCCUCAACCUGCGUGAGUGUCCUGCUACAGCUAUGGACAAAAACUGAGCAGGAAGCAAAGCAACCAUGAACCACAGCAGAAAGUACCUGUCAUCCCUUAAAACACAGAGGAUUGGAAGCAACUGAAGCUACAGGGCUGAUCUCAGGAGCUCAAAGCAGUGAGCAGCUAAAGACAUGGCUGCUGGAAGAACCGUCAAAGAGAGAUGUCUGUGAAGUCAACAGAAUACCAGGGCAGCCAUUUAGGAUUCUUCAUGAACUGCAGAAAUGAAGGAAGGUAGACAAGGAAAUAAGGGAAUUUUACACAAGUUCCACCCAGGAGAUCAGCGCAAGCAUGGAAAGAGCAGCUGUGUUAGUUUAAUACAACCUGGCUUUUAGUGGGGAUGUAGAAAAAACCACAGAGGCUGCUUCUGAAAGAGAAGCUCCUCAAAACUUCUACUGUGUCCAGAAGAGCCAAUGCCUGAAGGCUCUGACGACGGACAUCUUGGCUAGCCCAAUCAGAGAAGUUAGCAACGCCUCUGUGAGCACAUAUUUACAAAUGAAAAAAAUGCAUGCAAGCCCUCUUUCUUCCUGCAAGGGGUAGGGAGGUGGCCUCCGGGAAGUCUUCUGGCAUGGCCAGGAGUGCCCAUCCUGGCUCAUCCGAGCGCCAGUAGCGGCCAUGUGGCCAGGGUGGCACAGUCGGGCAGCUCAGCCAGGAUUGUGCAGCCGCUGCCAUCUUGGCAUGACUUGCAAUGAACUUUAUUUAUUUAGUUGCUUUUAACCAGAAAGGCAAGGGCAGCUGGUGUGGCCUGUAAGGG